UACGGAGGAUCCAAGCGUUAUCCGGCUUUAUUGGGUUUAAAGGGUGCGUCGUCGGCUUAUUAAGUCAGGGGUGAAAGACGGUGGCUCAACCAUCGCAGUGCCUUUGAUACUGAUGAGCUUGAAUACACUUGAGGUAGGCGGAAUGUGACAAGUAGCGGUGAAAUGCAUAGAUAUGUCACAGAACACCAAUUGCGAAGGCAGCUUACUAAGGUGCAAUUGACGCUGAGGCACGAAAGCGUGGGGAGCAAACAGG
rnacentral:rRNA from 1 species